rnacentral:snRNA from 1 species
AGCUUUGCACAGGGGCAGUAUCGUAGCCAAUGAGGUUUAUCCAAGGCGUGAUUAUUGCUAAUUGAAAACUUUUCUCAAAACUAUUUCAAAAAAUUAAGUCACUGAGGCCACCAUCAUCCUGAUAAAAAAGCCAGACAAAGACACUAUUAAAAAAAUAAAAUUACAGGCCAGUUAUCUUUGAU